UACGUAGGGUCCGAGCGUUGUCCGGAAUUACUGGGCGUAAAGAGCUCGUAGGCGGCUUGUCAAGUCGACUGUGAAAACCCGCGGCUCAACCGCGGGCUUGCAGUCGAUACGGGCAGGCUAGAGUUUGGUAGGGGAGACUGGAAUUCCUGGUGUAGCGGUGAAAUGCGCAGAUAUCAGGAGGAACACCGGUGGCGAAGGCGGGUCUCUGGGCCAAUACUGACGCUGAGGAGCGAAAGCGUGGGGAGCGAACAGG
rnacentral:rRNA from 1 species